UUAAAGGGAGUUUGCAAUUUUGCUCCUGACCAUGUUUCUCUCAAUGGGUUGGUUCCAUUCUUUCCCUGGUAAAGUCUAUCAACGGAUUUGCAAUUGAGUUGCUUUUAUACAGAAGAGAACUGCCAGACCAAGAAAAGGGACUGAGACUCGAGGAAGCGUGUAGCCCAGCUUGCAAAGCAAGUACAUGAAACAAAAGACAAACUCGUAUUAAAUACAAAAAUAAAGUCCUGAAAGCCUCUAGGCUCAUCGUGUUAACUGAAGGAAAGUUCAAUAUUUGUUGUCUCAACGGUGAUUUCCCCCCCAGGAUUUCGGGAAGCACUCUCAGCUUCAGUACCUACAGUUCAUGCAUCUCCAAAAGUAUAAACACUGAACUGAGAGAGAGAUUGCUGCCUUUCAACCUAACAGUUCUUUGCAGAAACCCCAAUUUGAGGGUGAGAAAAGACAACACAAGCAAAAUAUUACGAACCAGAGGCGCCCUGAUAUAGCGGAUAGAAAACAGGCUGCUUUGCUUCUGACACUUCCAUUGGUAUUUCUACUUUGAAGCCAGAGAAAUGAAAAUCAGAAAACUACAACAAAAAGAACAGGCUACUCCAUGCAAGAAAUGGUCUGGAAAAGAAUCGGAUAUUUGACUAUGGAGCUACUCUAAGGUCCCUUUCAAAGGACUCUAAGAUGCUCUUGCCUCCUCAGCCUCAAGGUUCGAAUGCAAUUACAAGGAGAGGACAGAACUGACCGUAGGAAUGAAUUUGAGCUCGAGGGACGGGAGAAGACUGGCAGAGACAAGCUGAAAUAUGAGCCAAAUCUGUUCUGCGAGAUGCACGGGGGGCGGGGGAGAGGGAGGUGGAAGGUUGUGAGUGGUGGUGCACACUGUAAAAAGACCUCUGCACUCAAGAAAACUUUUUUCCUUCUUUUUUUCCCUCAUCUCCUAUCUUCACUCUUUCCUUUGAAUCUUUUUUGCUUUUGUGCAUAUUUCUGCCCCUUUCCACUGAAGAAGAGCGAUUUAGUCCAGAGGAUUGCUUCAGAAUACAUUUUAUUGAAGUUCAAAAUCCACGGCUAUAUUUUCCCAGCCACAAUAAAGUAAGACUGCUGUUUCCAUCGCUUUAGGGAGCCCUUCUAGGAAGCUCAGGCCAAAAGAAACCUUACUCCACUCUCAACAAGACAUGUUAUUUGUUUUCUCCGAAAUUAUCCAGCUAAUUUUCAGCUCAAGCUUUGCCUUGCUAAAUAGUCCAAAGUUAGGAAAACAUGGUUAUUAAAGAAAAAAUUUAAUUAUGUUAAUCAUUUUUUAAAAAAAAGACCAUUGUCCACUGCUGAAAAGAGUCCUGCAUUUUCAAAUAGAUGAAAGUCUACUGAUCUACAUACUAGCUGAUAAGAGAUAAGAGAGUCAGUUCUUUCUGUCCUCCCUGGAAUGCUGGGUAAAGAACAAAAUUGCUUGGGCGCCAAGGAGGAAACUCAAAGGAGGAACACUGGAGACCACUCAUAUUCUCAUAUCCUUAACCUGCUUUCCCAGCAUCUCCAGGAGGGAAGGCUAAUGCUGUGAAGCAGACGAAUAAAGAGGCUUUGGAAGUGAGCGGGGGAGGGGCGGGAGUUUUUAAAGGAGUCCUCGGAUUUAAGUAUCAGUCUAAAAUAUAUAUUUGUGACUUCAGGGGGCCAAGGCAAGAUCUGGCGGUCCAGGAAGCAUUGCUUCACUUUUGAUGUAGUUGAAAUUGUCUUUAUCACCUAAAUCUGUGUGUUUAUGUGUGUGCUUGUUCAUCUGCAUAAAGGUGAACAAACGGUUAUAGUAACCCCACCACUACCACCAGUCCUCUCCUAUGAAUUUCCAGUAGAAUAUAUCUUCAGUUAUAGUUUGCCAUCCACAGAAGCACCUUUGGAGUCGUGCAAUUAAUUAUACAUAUGCACCAGAGCGUCUACACACACACAGGCAGCUUUUCACACUGAUCCUCAAGCAGGAUGGAACCUCGAAUGUCUCCCUCCCUCCUCCAAAAAAGAACCGAACAAACCCCAGUUGCAAAAUACAGUCCAAGUAGGAAAA